rnacentral:misc_RNA from 1 species
UGCAGUUGAGGCCCCCGGUU